GUCGGUGGCUAUGUUUGGACUGCACAGUGCAUACUGUAUACUGCAUUUGUGAAGAUUAUGUACCAAUGAAUAUUUCAAAAAGUCGUAUAUUACAACCUUGUCACAGCAACAAUCUCAGAUGUAAAAAUAACUGAGUUUUUUGUAUUCAAUUUUGUGCAGUUCAAAUAGUGAAAUGUUAAACACGAUCAGAGGUGGGUAGUAACGAGUUACAUAUACUUCGUUACAUUUACUUGAGUACAUUUUUUGGGUAACUAAUACUUUUAGAGUAUAUUUAAAAAUGGGUACUUUUACUCUUACUCAAGUACAUUUUUAGUGAAAAAACGGUACUUUUACUUCGUUACUGUGGGCGACGCUCCUCUCGUUACUUUAUCUUAAUGCAAUACAAGUUAAAAAUCCUUCAAUUUAUUCCAAACGCGCCGUCUACUUUUUUUCUGGGCAAUGAGCGAUGCCCGUUCGCGAAUGAUUCAUUCUUUUGCGUCAAUUCUGUUCGAAGGCUUGAUCAAACCAGUUGGCAAACCAGUGAAUCGGUUCGCGAAUCAGUUUGAAUGAUUCGUUCAGUUCCCUGCCGCACGCGCCGAGCAGUUCUCACUGUAACAUCAGGAGCGUUGAAGACUUGGCUUUGGAUCUACAGUCAGUUGAGAGCAAAUCUGCAAAGGCUAUGGUUUGCUAGCUAUGAAGAUCUUUAUUAGACGAACACCGCGUGUGCUGCCAGUUCCACAGUGUGUACUCACUCAGAACAGUGAGUUUAGCUCUUCUGGACCUGAGAGCGGCUUCAGUGGCCUGACACUCGUACAGUGAGUCAUCGGUCAGGUCUGCUGACGUGAUCUCCAGAUUAUACUGCCCAACAUCCAAGAUACGCAAAACACGAUCUUCUCCGAUGCCAAGAGCAAGCCCGUCUUUGGUCCAUUGUACAAUGCCGGUGUAGUUAAACACCACGCAGGACAAAACUACUCUCUCCCCGACCACCACAGACUGAUCCGCCGGCUCCUGAGAAAACC